rnacentral:rRNA from 1 species
AUGACAGAACAUUUUGAGACUUUACUUUUUUUGUGGUUCAGUGUUGGGAAUAUGCUGCAAAUUAAGAGGGGUACGGAUGAUGGUCUCAUGGAAAAUCUCAGAGAAAGCUCAAAAAAGAAUAGAACUUGCAUUGGUAGAGAAGAGACACUUGAUUUGUCGAUUUCAGGUGACUUACAUCGGGAUAGCACUUUGGAAGAACAAAUUGAAAGCGAUUCUGGUCAAAGCAUCUGGAGUGAGCUCAGUGAACAAGUUACUUCAGAAUUUUCUACAAAUGUUGUCUGCCUUGCUUUGUGUGCUGGACAUGAUGUGUUAUUUGCGUGCUCAGGCAUAGCCGUGCACUGCCAGGUUCAUUUUGCAAGGUUCCUGACUUCAGCAAGUUUGGUCAGAGCUUUCAAUGAUCUUAAAAGAGAAGGCCACGAUGGCUUGAAGAUCCAAGUGCAGCGCAAAGGCUAUGUUGCCAGAGGGUCAUUGGGGGACUAUAAUUUCGAUCAGGGAAUUGCUCUUGUCAGCAUAAAGCUUUUCACCCUUGGUGUUAAUCCAGUGAAACUCUAUCAUCAGCUGGAAUUUCUUCCUUGUAGUAAGGUAGUAUCUGUAGCAUGUGCAACCACUGGCAAAUUAAUGGUCACAAGUGGAAUACUGACCGAUGAUACAAGUGGAUCUGAAAAUGGCAAAGAGCUUAUGUUCUCAACUUGUAAAAUCUCCAAGGAUUGGGAAGGCGGAGCACUUUUUGAUUAUGAUGGAAACUUUGUUGGCAUGAACCUUUCUCCGGUUGAGGAAAGAACAUCUUUUUUGCCAACUAGUAUAAUUAUCAAACAUUUGGAACAAUUUGUGCCAAACAUGGAAGUUAAGGUAGUCAGGCCUGUAACACUACGGAGAUAUGAGGAAAUACAACCCAGGCCCUAUAUGCACUAUCCAAGAGACAUAUAUGGGGAUCUAGACUCCUUGGGCUAUCCAAAGCAAUCAACAACUACUAUCAGUGAGGGCUUGAUUUUGGUUAAUACUUUCGAAGAGACUUUUGGUGAAGUAUACGAUUCUGGUAAAGGUGUCUGGAGCCGACUCGGGAAAACAAUUUCUAAUCAUUUCCAUCAAGUUGUUGUCUCACUUGCUGCAUUCAUCGGAGAAACAAGGAUUUUUGCAUGCACAGGCUUAUUUAUUGAUUGGAAUGGAUGCACCACCAUUUUGACUUCAGCAAGUUUGAUUCGGGAUCCUAACGAUGGAAACAAGAUUGCUGAAAACUUGAAGAUUGAAGUCAAUAUUCCAAACGAAGGAUGCAAAGAAGGGAUAUUACAACAUUGUAAUUUACACUACAAUGUUGCUCUUGUUGAUGUCAAUAAGUUCCGUCCUCUUUGUUCAUCUAAAAUUCUUGAAGAACAGUGGGACCCUAGAAUUCUUGAAGAUCCGAAUGUAGUAGCUGUUGGGCGCUGCUUCAAAUCAGGCGUGUUAAUGGCUACACAUGGAAAACGGACUGACUGGUCAGGCAUGCUUGAUUGCAGAGAUCUUCGGUACUCCAGUUGUACAAUCACUAAGGCUGGGAUUGGAGGGCCCCUGUUUGACUUCAAGGGGAGAUUUGUUGGCAUGAACUUCUAUGAUAAGAAAAUAGGGACCCCCUUCGUGUUUAAGGAUCAUAUUUGUCGACUGCUGGCACAGUUUGAGGGAAAAAGCACCGUUGAUGAAGUUGGCAGUGAUGAUAAACCAAUUAGGUGGCCUGUGCCCAAGCCGUGUUGGCGCCACCCGCAUGAUGAGCUCGAUGAUUUGCGCCCACCUGGGUAUGGGGAAAAAUCUGAUAGAUUCGGAUUUACAUAUGUGCGUGGAGUCAGAGUUGACUACCAUUAG